UGUACUUGUUCCUGCCGAUCAUGUUGUGGAUCAAAUUGGCAAGGAGCAUUGCAAAGUUAAUUAACUUGAUUAUUAAUUGCAAGAGAUUCAACAAGUGAAGUGCAAAAGAAAAUCUGAUUUGGACAGCUUUGGUGUGCUGACAUUUGGAAGAUCAUGAAUUCCUACCUUUACUUUUAAAUAUGCAACUGUUUAAGACUAUUUUGUUGACUAUUAUGAGAAUGUUUUGUUUAUGUUAAUUAGGUAGUGUUGAAUAUCUUAAGACUUUUGGAUUGUUUUUUAGAUAAUCUUGAAUGUAUUUUGACACAAUUAUUUAGUUAUAUGUGUUAUGAA